GAGGGUCUAACUCAGUGGUAGAGAGCAUGCUUAGCAUGCACGAGGUCCUAGGUUCAAUCCCCAGUACCUCCA
rnacentral:tRNA from 1 species